AUACUUACCUGGACAGGAUCAAUGGGUGAUCAAAAAGGCCUAUGGUCUAGGUUGGUGACCUCCAUUGCACUUUGAAGGGGUGCUCGCCUAAGGUCGGCCCAAGUGGUCGAACCUAUGUCAUAAUUUGUGGCAGUGGGGGUUUGCGUUCGCGCAGCCCCUAC